UGAGUAACACGUAUCCAACCUGCCGUCUACUCUUGGACAGCCUUCUGAAAGGAAGAUUAAUACAAGAUGGCAUCAUGAGUCCACAUGUUCACAUGAUUAAAGGUAUUCCGGUAGACGAUGGGGAUGCGUUCCAUUAGAUAGUAGGCGGGGUAACGGCCUACCUAGUCUUCGAUGGAUAGGGGUUCUGAGAGGAAGGUCCCCCACAUUGGAACUGAGACACGGUCCAA
rnacentral:rRNA from 1 species